rnacentral:lncRNA from 1 species
UUUUUCUUCAUUUUGAGUGUGGUACAAUUUAAUUCCAUAUUCUUGCAAAACUUUUUUGUAAUGUUUAUUUUCAAAUUCCAAACCUUUAUCUGCGUGAAGUAAUUUUCGAUCCACCUUAUUUUCUGAAUUUUUACCAAAAAUCACAUCUCGAAAGCUUCUAACAUAUCUUUUUCUUUUUUAUUAAUUGUAAAAUUGAUUAAUCGAUAAGGGUCGAUUUAUCGAUUGUUAUAAUCGCGCAUCCCUACAGCUGACUUAAGGCGACUGAAAUAAGGAGCUGUCGUUUCUUUGGUUUCGGUUUACUGAUAUUCGGUAUCAGCCUUGACAACGACGUGAUUAUCUUCAUAGCCUUUGCUGCCGCACAUUCCAGGUGUUUUCCAAAUCCUAGUUUCCUACAUAAUUCUACACCUAGAUUGCGAAUGUGCUCUUUUGGUUCGGGUAAUUUGCCCUCAAUAAGAACCUCGGGAUCGUAUAUCCUCGUUUGGUGGUUAGCAUUAUUUCUUCCGUCUUGCCAACCAAUAGUAUUAGGCCCCGUCCAGCCAUCCAACUUGUCACUAAAGCUAAGGACAGAUUCAUUGCUUUCUCCGGAAGAGUAGUUGUGUGUCCAGUAGCAGAAACCACGAUGUCAUCUUCAAAGGCUAUAAGGGUCGAGCUAAAUAUGCCCCAAUUAGGCAUUGGUUGGCAAUUUUGGUCCAACAAUUAGAUAUUCAACUUGCAACUAUGUCUUAGAACGGGUUCAUUGCUUUCUAUGGAAGAGUAGUAGUGUGUCCAGUAGCCAAAACCACGACGUCAUCUGCAAAGACUAUAAGUAGAGCUUGGUAUGUCCCUGUAUAUCUCCUUACGCAGCAAGUCGUCGUACAUUAUGUUCCAUAAUUUCGGGCCGAGUACAGACCCUUGAGGUAUACCACUGGUGACCUCUACAUGCUUUUUUUUUACUAUACAGAAGUGACCUGUCGUUGAGAUAGCUCAUCAAAAUUCUCACACUAGGUAUACUGGCACGCUUUUCAUGAACAGGGCCUCUUCGAUCCUGAUCCAGGUUGCUGAAUUAAACACAUUUGCUACGUCAAGGGAGACCAUUGUGCAAGUUCUCUCUUGUACAGUGGCCCAGUACCUGCUCUGUUCACCACAUCCAUCGCAUUCCAUAUCACAUCUACGUCCUUUCGAGAAUCCAAAUUUCCUAUUUCUGAUCCCGCUAGUUACUUCCAGGUGUGAUUCCAGUCUCUUCUUGAUGUCUAUUUAAAUAGUGUUCCAAUUGUGUUGAUUAGGGAAAUUGGCCUGUAUGACGAGGGUCGCUCUAUUGGUUUAUUGCCUUUUAGAAGUAACACUAGCUUAGCCUCUUUCCAUGCUUUUGGAAAGUUCCCUUGAGUGAGACAUCUGAUGAACAUACCUCAUUUAAAUUCACAUUUUUUCGGAUUACAUGCUUCACUAUGACAUCUGGGAUUCCAUCAGGCUCCGGUGCCUUGUUCAUCGGUAGGCUUAUUGAUUGUAAUUCCUCGCUGGUAAUCAGUGGGACUUAUGAUUAUGGCCAUAUUGAUGGCUGAUGAUUCGGGAACAGUGUAUCAACUAUUAGUUCCAACCAUCUGGGAAUCGUUAUCUCCGUUAUCGGUACGCCACCGACCAGAUUUUUAUGACUAUCUUAUAGUGGAUGCCCCUAGGAUCCGCUUCUACCUGGUUGCAGAGUUCCCACCAACAAUUUUCUUUAAUUUGUCGUCUUUCUAUUUUUACCUUUAUCUUCAGAGCCCUAUAUUCUUCUAGUAUUUAAAUGCAGUCUUCGCCAUGAUUACUAGUUCUGCGAAUCCUCCUCCUUGCGUGGAUGCAUUCCUUCCUGAGAUCGGAUAUUUUGGAUGACCACUAGUAACACGGCUUUUUUCCCAUUUAUAUUCUCCUUUCAGCAUACAGCUGUUACACGUAUCUCUGAGGAUUUCAGAGCAGUCAAUGGAUCUGUUUUCUACAUCUUCUGUUGACGGUACUCUUGCCGUCGCAAUGAACGAGUCCAGUUUUUCUACAUCAAGUUUUCUCCAAGCCCAACCAUUUCUCCGUGCUUGUAGUUCACUCUCCGUCACUCUUAGGUUGUAGUACGCGUACUGGUGGUCGCUCAAUGAUUGGUCCUCUAGAAUCUCCCAUGAGCCGAUUUUCCUGACGAUGCUCGUUGUUACCAAAGUCAGAUCACCCUAACCUCACUUAACCAAACCUAACCUUAUACAUGUUCACCACUGUUUUGUAAAUUAUACAAUUAGUAUACGUUUACAACCAGGACAUCAAGUACAUUACUCUACCAAUUCAAGGAAUGAAACUUUUUAAAAUAUAAUAAGAAGAAAAUCCUAUUUCUAUUUCUAUUAUUCUUGAAUAAAUCCUAUUUAAAUAAAAUUAUGAUUUUAUAGAAGACCGUUUUUGAAAUGUAUCAUUGAAUGCAAAUAAAAUAAUGAUAAUCUUGUAAAUUUUAUAUGUUCCAUUACUUAUUAAACUAGGUACCUACAAAACAAGUUUGUAAUUUUCACUCGGCAGAAAAAAAAAUUUUAAAUCAUCUCAGUUAUAACGUAUUGUAAAGGAGACAUAAAAAAUAUAUAUAAGUGUUAUUAAAACUAUGUAUAUUAUUUUAUUUUGUAGGAUCCCAAGAUGAACACUAUAGAAAUGAUAUCAUAAAAAAGUUACCGGAUGGAGUGUUUCAAGAUUACAGAACAUGGUGUGAGAAAACUAAAGGAUAUACGAAUCCUUUAUAGAUAACUAAAUGAUUUUGUUUGUUAUAAUUUAGCAUUAUAUUACCUUUGUUAUUAUCUCUAAUACCUAGUGCUAUAAUUAAAUACCUACUAUGUAUUCAAGGGUCACUGCCCGUAAAUUGUUUGUAAAUUAAUAAAAAUAUUAAUACAUAAUACAAUAACAAG